rnacentral:rRNA from 1 species
UACGAAGGGGGCUAGCGUUGUUCGGAAUUACUGGGCGUAAAGCGCACGUAGGCGGCUAUUUAAGUCAGGGGUGAAAUCCCAGAGCUCAACUCUGGAACUGCCUUUGAUACUGGGUAUCUUGAGUAUGGAAGAGGUAAGUGGAAUUGCGAGUGUAGAGGUGAAAUUCGUAGAUAUUCGCAGGAACACCAGUGGCGAAGGCGGCUUACUGGUCCAUAACUGACGCUGAGGUGCGAAAGCGUGGGGAGCAAACAGG